rnacentral:tRNA from 1 species
GUGGUGGCUCAGCGGUAGAGCACUAGCCUAGCAUGUGUGAGGCCCUGGGUUCGGUCCUCAGCACCACA